AGAGUUUGAUCAUGGCUCAGGAUCAACGCUGGCGGCGUGCCUAAUGCAUGCAAGUCGAACGGUACCAUUUCGGUGGUGCCGUGGCGAACGGCUGAGGAACACGUGCGUAUCCACCUCCUCGUGGGGAAUAACCCGUGGAAACACGGGCUAAUACCGCGUACGCUUGGCGCAAGCCAAGGAAAGCCUUCGGGCGCGGGGAGCGGAGCGCGCGGCCCAUCAGGUAGAUGGCGGGGUAAUAGCCCACCAUGCCGGUGACGGGUCGCUGGUCUGUGAGGACGGCCAGCCAGACUGGGACUGCGACACGGCCCAGACACCUACGGGUGGCAGCAGCAAGGAAUCUUCGGCAAUGGGCGCAAGCCUGACCGAGCAACGCCGCGUGGAGGACGACGGCCUUCGGGUUGUAAACUCCUUUUCUGGGGGACGAUACGGACGGUACCCCAGGAAUAAGCCCCGGCUAACUCUGUGCCAGCAGCCGCGGUAAUACAGAGGGGGCAAGCGUUGUCCGGACUUACUGGGCGUACAGCGCGCGCAGGCGGUUACAUAUGUGCCCGGUGACAUCUGCUCGCUUAACGAGCAGCGGCCCGGGUAGACAGUGUGACUGGAGGCAGGGAGAGGGAUGUGGAAUACCCGGUGGAGCGGUGAAAUGCGUAGAGAUCGGGUGGAACACCAGCGGCGAAGGCGGCAUCCUGGCCCUGAACUGACGCUGAGGCGCGAUAGCGUGGGGAGCAAACGGGAUUAGAUACCCCGGUAGUCC
rnacentral:rRNA from 1 species